rnacentral:lncRNA from 1 species
UUAGCUUAAUAGGCGCAAUUGGAGUGAUCAUUGGCUUGUAUAUUGUACUUUGGGGUAAAGCUGAAGAAGUAGUUGAUGUUAAAGAGAAGAUAGUUCCAAAAUCUAUGGUUAAUGAGACAGAGGAAGUGAAAAUUGAUUUGGAAGAACCUCUUUUAACCAAUUUUUUGAAAACCAGAUCGGAGAUUGAAUCAUUGAAUUCUUCGAGUUAUGGUUCAAUUGGUUCAACUACUUGAAGCAUAGUCGAACCAUAUAAUUAAUAAAUAAAGAUAGUUUGAAUAAUUGUACUUAAAAAAUGAUAUUUUUAUGAGUACAAUAUUAUAUGGGAAUAUACUUUGUUCAAAAAGAUUAUAUGAUAAUAUACGGUCAAUAUAGCAAUCAAACCAUGGCAAAAAGGGGUCAUAAUUAUUUACCAUAAAUAUUUAUAGAUUAUCUACAUAAAUUAAUAAGCAUCUCUAAAAAAAAAAAAAUAACAAGCAAUAAAAUGAUGACAUAAUUAUCGUUAAUUAACAAAUUAUAGAUUAUAAAAAUAUAACAUUGCAUAUCCAAAAAAUUAAGACUUUUUUUAAAGUCAAACUAGCUUAUUGAAAUUGGUCACGAGGAGAAUCAAAAUGAGAACUUGAGAAUAUCAAACUCUAAGUUCCCAAGCCAACGUUAUUAGACCAUCUUAAGUGGAUUAAAAAUUACAGAGAUUUCAAUACCUCAGAAUUAUAUUAUUGGCAAUGAAUCUUCAUAUUUUGAAAACGCUCUAUGAUUUUUGUAAAGAAUGUUCCUGAUUUCUUUGUUGAUGUUUUUUCUACUUCAUAAACUUAUUGAGACUCAAAUGUUAAUCUUCUUUCACAAUAUUUUUCCAUUUCUAGUAUAGUAUAGAACACUAAUUAAUGACUUUAAUUCUAAUACUUGUAGAAGAUUUUGUGGGAGUGGAUGGAAGUUAUUUUUUCACUUUUGAUAUUUGGUUAAAAAUUGAUGUUGAAGUAUAUGCAAAAUCGUGGCACAAUUUGGAAGAUUAUAGCGCGGAGGAAAAUAUUGUGGCGUGAUUUGACGACUAGAUUCAAUACUGGGUAGAAGCAUCAGCUGAUAGACAAGGCAAAAAGUGCUAUAGUUUUAUGUCUUGAAGAUAAGGUUUUAAGGGAUGUCAUUAGGGAAGCUAUCGUAUAAUCGAUGUCGGCUAAAUUGGAGUCAUUGUACAUAACGAAAUCUUUGGCUCAUAGAUAACUUUUCAAACAACAACUCUACUCAUUUAAAAUGGUGGAGUCCAAAUCUAUCACGGAGCAAUUGGUGGAAUUUAACAAGAUUCUUGAUGACUUGGUGAACAUUUAAGUAAACGUGGAAGAUGAAGACAAGGUUAGAUUGUUACGUACUAUGUUCUUCACCGAAGUCUUUUGAGCAUUUUAAAGAUACCAUCCUUUACGGAAAGGAAAUCACCACUACUUUGGAGGAGGUCCAAGUGACUUCGAGAGCCAAGAAGUUAACCAAGUUGAAAAUUAUUUGAAGGUUGAGGAUAGUUGUGAAGGUUUGAAUUUUACAAGGGAAACAAGUGAGCGUAGAGGAAAAGUCGAGGUCUAAGUCCAAAAGGUGUGAUAAAUCGAAUUAUCGACGUUUCCGUUGUCAUAAGCUAAGUCACUUAAAGAAGGAUUGUCUUGAAAGGGGUGAAAUGUAGUUCUUUGUAACAACCAAAAAAUUUGAGACAUUAACUUAUACGAUUGUUAACGAAAAAUGGUGCAUAUUUUUUUUUUAUUUUUUUUUUAUCAUACUAAUAACUUAAAACUCCCUCACUUCAAAGUAAAAAUAAAUAAUAAAUAAAUAAGUUUCUCUUUGAACUUUUUUAAAUAAUAAAUCAGCAUUGUUUUACAUCAAAAUAUAUAAUUCUUAAGAGUAAGACCCUUGACCUUUAACUACCCAAAGACACACCCUAACUGGUCAUAACUUUGGACGCUUGCGAGAACUCUCGCUAAGGCGGACCCAAGGUCCACAUCACUCUAAGCCUCCAACUGUAAGUCAUUAUCAUUAUCUGAUUUUCAAAUACGGAAAAAGGGUUAACUCCCAAACAACAACAAAUAUACAAGUUAUACAUAUAUUUAACAGGUAUUUCAAGACAAGCAAAUAGUACAAUAAUAAUAUAAACUACACAAAAUGUCAAGACCCAAGACACCAGUGGACUCGACAAAUGAACGACACCUUAAAGCUGACCUAUAGGCGACACAAAUUAAUCGGAUAUCACCUCCCUUAUAGGGCAACAAAAGUUCUUCGUAGAUAUUUGUAAGCUUCAACCAAUUAUGAACACUCCACCGUAGCUCCAACCAAUUAUGGACACCACAUUCCCCACGGGUCCCAACCAAUUAUGGGCACCAAAAGAAAUCAACGAGUCCCAACCAAUUAUGAGCACUCAAAAGGAAACAAUAAGCCCCAACCAAUUAUGGGCACUCAAGACUUCGGGUCCCAACCAAUUAUGGGCACCACACGACAAUGAAUGUAUGCAUGUGACACCUGAUUAUUAACUCCACAAAAAACACCGCUCUUAAUGAGUAACCGACUAAAUUAAUCAUUCUUAACCACCUGCUAGCUAGAGACACAGAUUAUGAUGACAGUAGUCAUUACGUUAUUUUUAUAAGUCUUUUUAUGGCAUUUAGAGAGUCAGUUACUUGUAAUUCAUGGUGAGAUCAGAUCAAAAACGGAACAAGAGCUCAAAAGAAGAAAUUGGUGAAAAGAUUGAAAUUUGCCUAAGAAUCGUGCCACGUUGAGCAAGGAUCAUGGCAUGUUGCAAGGACGCGGAAUUCACUAAUACGUUCUGGAAAUUUCGUGGCACGAUGAACCAUGAAACGUACCACGAUGAUUAAAUAAAGUUACUGCCACAUAUGAAUUAAUUGAUGAGAACAAGUGUUUUGCUUUUGGGUGGUGUGAAUAAUAGAAAGAUAAAAAAAAAACAAUUGGGCUUUGUGUGUGUACGUUGGCAAACAAGUGGAAGGAAAUUAGGUCACUUGAUUAUAUAUAAUAAGAAGUAACACACAAAUGGAUCACGGCUGGCGGUUUGGAACAGCAGGCGGCUAUAUUCCUUUGGUUUGGAAAAGGCACGCGUCACGAGACAAGAAGGAGGCACAUGGAUAUGAAAAGAAACGUCAACAAUAGAAAUUGAGAAAGAAUUGAGGAGCAAAAGUCAUCAACGACAGAACUCUAUCGAUUUAUUUUCUUUAUUAUGUUGUUUAUUAAUUUGAUCAUGUCUAGCUAAACUCUUAGUUUGAUUGAGCUAUGAUGAAUCUUUGUAAUAUAUGAAUUAGUAGUUGAUACUCUAAUGUUAUUCAGUCUUUAUUCAGAAUUACUUGUGUUCAUUGCUUUCUUAUAAUUGCUUGUAACUUCUUGAAAUUACAUGAAUUGAUAUUAGGAAUUGAUUGACUACUAACUUUUUAAUCCUGAAAUAACUUAGGAAAGAGUUUUGAGUAGGGCUGGAGCUGCGGCUCGUUUAAAGUUCACGAACAGUUUGGUUCGGUUCAUUAGGUUCAGUUCGGUUGCUCAACUCGUCCGAACAAAAGUUAUAAAAAAAAGUUAAUUUAUAGAUCUUUGAUAUUUUAUAUUUAUAUUAAAAUUAAAUAUUGAAUUAAAAUAAAAUUCCCACAAGCAUGCAUAUAAUAAACAUAAAUUAUAUAAAGUUAAAGGUUGCAUAAAUACGAAGAAAAAUAUUGCAUAAAUUCAAUUAGUUAUGAACAAAAUUCAUAAUAUUCUUUUACUUUUAAACUCCAACUGCUCUCUUCCCUUCAAGACAAAAUUGUAUUCAGCCACAUUUGAAUUAAUUUUUUUUAAAAACUAACUCAAAUUGAUUUAUAUAUAUAAUCGAUAAUCGAGCCAUCUCAUGAACCUAACGAGUCGAACUAUAUGUAGCUCAAGUUCAACUCAUUUAAUUAACGAACUUAAUUUUCAACUCAAGUCCAGCUCGUUAGGUUCAUGAACCAAGUUCAACGGAUUAGAUAUCGAGUCGAAUGUCGAACUAUAAUCGAGUUGGUUCGGUUCAUUGCCAGCCCUAGUUUUGAGUCAAGAGAUUGAUCAAAACUACUUAGUUAAUUUGUCGUAAAGAAUAAAUAAUAAUUAGUAAUAAGGGAGGUAAACUACUCAUAUAGAACAAUAUGAGAUUCAUCGGCUUAAUCAUUCAUCUCCAAUCAUCUUUCAAACCAUUUUAUUUUCUUUUAUUUACUUUUUAUUGCAACCAAAUCCAACUGCCUGGGGCAACCCAUAAAAUUUACUAAAUCCUUUAUUUUAACGAACUUGCUAAGUAGAAAUUAACAACGGUCCUCGUGGAUACGAACUUUAUUAGUACUUCCAUAGUUUUUGGUACACUUGUCAAAUAUCUAUCAGAUUACACCGACAAUAGCUCCGACUUACAAAAUAUGCAAGACCACAAUUCAUACAUGAAAACAACAAGUUAUAUUCACAACCAAGCAAUACAAAAGCAAGUUCACAUAGUAUGAAAGCAGGGUACACUAUAUAAACAUGUUAAAACAUCAUCAUUUUAACAACAAGUAACUACAUAUAUAAAAUAAAAAAAUGGAGCGCCCUUUCCCGUACCUUAACAACAGUAGCUUUUCUGAAAGAAGGUGGAGUUGUCCGGCUCGAAAAAAAAGGCUUGUGAGGUUAAGGUAUGGGUACCGUUCGUCGAAAUAUGUUUGAUCACUGUGAGUUCCUUUUAAGGCAUGUGACAUAUGAUCCUGAACCUAUGCAAAAUGCAAUUCCCAUUAACAUGUUUGAUAAUCUAAGUUAUUGCACUAAAAUUGUAUAUGAGAUGUGUAAAUUUCGAAUGGUGCAUUAAUUACUCUUAAAUGUUUUAAGAUGUUUGAUUUAUACAUUUUAGAUGGUUUUAUUGUAAUUGAUCAUGUAUCGUUAGCUAGUGCAGCAUCUCAUAAUAAAUUUGAAUUGUGGCAUUUAAGGUGACAACAUGUUAGUGAAAGAGGUUUAGUAGAACUAGCCAAACAAGGUUUUUUAGGAAGAGAAAAUUUGGAUAAGCUAGAAUUUCGCAAUCAUUGCAUACUAGACAAACAACAUAGAGUGAAGUUUGAAAGUGGUAUACAUUCGGAUUUUUGGAUUCUUCUUUAGAUACUUACUCACGGGGAUAUACUCCCUCUCGUGAACUUUUCUCCAUCUCUUCAUAUUCACAAAUAAGAGUCGUAUUUUGGAAAGUAAAGAUGGGAUAUUGUUUAGACAUGGAGUACUACCUUCCAGUAUUGGCCAUGGUGUUGACACAGUUUAUAUAUUCAGGCAUGAAUCUAAGUAUAUAUUCAGGCAUGGAGUCCAAGAGUAUUUAUAGUUUACCGUCAUGCUUUUGCAACCAUUCUUCUUGCUCCCAUUGCUUAUUUAUCUGGGUAUAUUUUACUAUCACCACCUUAUCUAUCCUUUCCUCUUAUCUAAAGUUUAUUAAGUAAUUUAUUGUUUCUAUUCCUUUUUUUCACAGGAGAAACUCUCGCUCUUAUUCCUUAAAUUUAACAAGUUUUUCCUGGAUUUUCAUGACCUCACUAAUUGGGUUUGUUUCCUUUUUCUUUUUCUUCUCAAUAUGAAUGGUGCUUAUCGUUAUGAUGUGAAAUUGAUAAAAAGUUGACUCUUUUAUGUUUAUUUUUGUUGGGAUAUUUUGCAGCAUUACUUUAUAUCAAAAUUUAUAUUUUGAGGGUCUAUAUCUAUCAUCUUCUUCAACUGCAACUGCCAUGAUCAAUCUUACUCCAGCAGUCACAUUUGUUAUAGCAACCUUUGUUGGGUAAUUAUAUACUAAUCUUACUAAACUCAACUUACUUUUGUUGAGUUUGAAUCAUUUUUAUUGAAUAUAUUACAGAAUGGAGAAAGUGAAUAUUCAAAGUUUGAGAACUAUAGCCAAAAUAGUUGGGACAAUGAUAUGUGUUACUGGAGCAGUGUCACUGUCCAUGACAUUAUUGAAGGGUCCAAAACUACUAAAUGCAGAUCAUAAGAUGCCUUCAAAAACAAUGAUGACCACAACCUUGGAAAGUGAUGAGAAUUGGUUGAUUGGUUGUCUCUUUCUGUUGGGAAGUAGUGUUGCCGGCUCAAUUUGGCUAAUUUUGCAGGUAUUUGAUUGUAACAAUAUAAGUAUCACUUUUAGUGGGUGAGGUUGAGGUUGAGGACCUACGUACGAUGAAACCAUGUGCUUUAUUUGAUUUAUUGGUUAAAAACCAACUUCACCAUGGUAAAAAACUUUAGGGUUAUGCGUCUCGUAGAGCACUAGUUAAGAAGAUAAAACUCGUCUUGGUCUCUCUUAUCAUGCAUAUAUAAUAUAUUGCCCCCGUACAUUCAUUUACAUUGGGAUCGUUGGCUAUCAUUUGUGCAUAUACGAGACGAUCAAAAAAUUUCUGCAGCAAAACAGCAUGCACCCCACCGAUCACACAUUAUACCUUCUUUCUUACCCUUUGGAAUAAAAAUAAUGACAAUUAAGUAUAUAAUCGAGUGUUUUUCUUUUAUACUUGGGCUAAAUGUCAAAACUGUAUAAGAAAAAACAGUCAUAACAUGAAGAAAAAUAAAUGUCAUUUUAUUGAGAGAAAAUGAAAUUAAUGUAUUAGAUAAAAACAAAUGCUACGAAAUACUUUAAAAUAUUUCCAAUUUUUUUUUGGUACAAGAGAAGGCAAAGCCCAAAAAAACCAAACUAAAAAGAUAAUCAAACAUUCAUAGGCAUGCAAGUCCCGGAUAAAUAAUCAAAAAGGAUUCUUUGGACCUUAUUAGGAGGAAACUCCAGCACUAAAAAAUCAAAGUGAUACGUAGAAAUGUUUAAAUUAGCGAGCCAAUUAGCACUCCUAUUUCCUUCGCGUCAAGUAUGGUUGAGUUGAACAUUCCAACUCAUCUUCAGUAGCUUCCGGAUCCGGUGAAAUAAAACAGGAAUAUUCCCAUUGAACUUGAAAUUAUCAGAAAUCAUAUCAAUCAAACUCUUUGAAUCACUUUCCACUAUAAGAUGAGAGUAAUGUUCCUUCCAAGCCAUGUCCAAAAUAUAGCCCCCACAUCUCAGCAUAUAAGACAUCACAAACUCCAAUCUUCUUAGUGUAGCCUUUGAUCCAUCUACCGUCUGAAUCACGAAAAAGGCCGCCACAUCCAGCAAUAACCCCCAUAUCCUUGCAAGCACCAUCACUAUUAAGCCUGAUCCAACCCUCUCGAGGCCGCUUCCAACCUAUAUAGAUGAUUGCCUUCAACUUUGGACCAAUAUGAAUAUGCUCCAAGUUACAGUCUUCAAUAUCUUGGACAUAUCUCCAAAUUAAAGAAAUUGGGUUGUUCGGCCUAAUAAAAUCAGCUUCAAAAAUAGUUUUAUUCCUCCACUUUUAUAAGUACCAACAAGUUGUCAUAAAAGUUGUCUUCCAACUUAAAGUGUUCGUUCCAACUUAAAAUAUUAUUUAAAUGUUGGAACUUCAAAAGUGUGUUCAAAAUGUGGGGGGAGCUACCUACAAAAAAUGAGUUGAAAAAUUGAAAAACAUUAGAUAAAAAUAACUAAUUACCAUCGUGGAUUUGUUCAGUGGAGUGAGGACACAGAGCUUGUUACUAAGGUUAUCAUUUAUCAAGGAGAUCGAUUGGGUGGAUUCGGUCUAGAGAUAGGUAAAUAAAACAAAACUGAACUCAUGAAAAUAGCUUAUGACCAUGCCAUAAGCCAUUUUCACAACGUCUCUAUACUAGUAUCUCAAACGUUUAUGUUAAUGCGAAAGUUUAAAUAAGUCAAUCUAAAUAAAUAUAUAUUAAUUGAGGGAAUCAAAAUAAAUAUAUAUUGUUAAAAAAGAAACACAAUUUGAUUUGAUAUAACCUUACCCUAUAAUUAUUCCCCAGGUUCCAGCUUACGCAAGCCAUCCUAAUUAUAUAUCAUUGUCAGCUUGGAUGUGUUUAAUUUCAACAUUACAAUCAUCAAUACUGACGUUAUUCUUGGAGCCAGACCUGAAUGCAUGGAAAAUUAAUUCUCUACUUCAAUUUGGGUGCACUUUAUAUGCAGUAUAUGUGGUUAAUUAUUUUUCAUGAUAAUACUUAUAUAUAAAUAAAUAAAUGAAUACAUUUUAAGUGGCCUAAUUUGUUGUAAUAAAUAAAUACAUUUUGCAGGGAAUUAUGGGGUCUGCAUUUGUAUUUUGUCUCCAAGCAUGGUGCAUUACAAAGAGAGGACCUCUCUUCUCUGCAAUGUUUAAUCCUCUCUUAACAGUGAUUGUGACUAUACUAGCUGCCUGCCUUGCUGCUUCAUGAGGAAAUAUACAUUGGAAGGUACUAAUAUUUAUGUUCUAAAAAUAAAUAUUAAUUUGAACAUUACAACUUGAAUUAUUAGUCUAACUAAAUGAUGUUUAUGAUUCAUGUGUUUUUAGCUUAAUAGGCGCAAUUGGAGUGAUCAUUGGCUUGUAUACUGUGCUUUGGGGUAAAGCUGAAGAUGUUAAAGAGAUGAUAAAUUCAAAAUUAGUGGUUAAUGAGACAACGGAAGUGACAUUUUCGACAAAUGAAUCUUGUGAAAAAUCAAGUUGUAAAAUUGAUUUGGAAGAACAUCUUUUAGCCGAUAAAUCUACAUCACGAUGUGGAUACAAAUGAAGAUGAAAAAAAUAAAAAAUUUGCAAAGGCGACAGUUAACUGCUGUUGGGGCAGAGGCAAUUAAAUACCGUGGAUAUCGAGUGGCAUUUAACUGCAUAUGGAGUUAAUCAUGAACAAUUUUAAAGAGGAGAAGAACAAUUUUCAGAGUUUUAUGUGGUUGAUUGUGAUGGAUCGGUUUGUGUGCUUGAUUUGUUGGUUUUUAUGUUUUCUUGUUUGCUCUUUUUAUAUUUUUUGUUGGGAUUUUAUCUAUUUUGUUGUUGUUGUUUUGUUUCACGUGCUCCUUGAUUUGCAUUUUAUAAAAUCCAAUAACAUAUAUUACUUUAAAAUAAUUAAAACGAAGAAUAAUAAAAUCUCCUUAAAGUAGUAGUCUCUAAACAGUUAAAGAUAAAGUAAAGUUAACUGUUUACCCCAACCUAAUAUCACCAAUCAAAGCAGGUGAAUUUCUAAAAUAAACAUAUUUUACGUGUGUAUUGACAUUAUGACCCAAAUAAUAAACUUUAAGCGUCACUUAAAGUGUCAAACACAAAACACGCAAGGUAAUUAAAAGAAUUAUCUUAAAGAUGCAACAUAUAUAAAUAGAACAAAGCACACAAGUAAUAACAUAAUCGUGAACAUUAGAACAUAGAAACACAUAUAUUUAAGGGUAAAUUACACUCACCUUCCUUAAGUUUUAGUCGUAUCUCAUUUACACCCCUUCUAUUCUUCAAAAAGCUUCCACCUCCCUUGAAUUCUAACAACGUUAAGCCAUCGUUAAAAGAAAUACUGUUCCUUUUUUUUUUUUUUUUUUGAAGAGCCUAAAAUGGAAUAUAUAUUACCCAAUCAAAAAGUUCUUCCUAGCACAAGGAGUACCAGAAAAAGAAAAAGAGUCAAAAACAUAUUUACAAAGAGAGGGAAACCAAAAAAAAAACAUAAACUAAAAUACACAGAAAAAAAUAACAUUAGCCUAGGCCCAACAUAAUGAACGGACUAAGUCACCAACCAUGAUAGUUGAAAGAGAGAUUAUGAAUUUUUGCUUUCAACCACAAAUAAGAAAGUGACUUAAUCUUGUCAACAAUCUGAUAAGUCGAACAUUCUUUGCCAUUGAAUAACCUGAUAUUUCCUUCUUUUCAUAUUUCCCACGCAGUAGCAUACCAAAUCAGAUGCAUAAUAGAUUGUCGCACCUUAGAACAAUUGCCACCAAUAAAACCAAACUGAUUGAGGUAAUCCGCAUGCACACUUGGGAACACCGAACAGACACCAAACCAACGAUGACUAAAGUGUCAGACUUCCCCAAAAAUAUGACAGUGUAAAAAUAAAUGAGGAGAAGAUUAUAAUGAACCACAACCACCAACGCACAAUCUAGCAUCAGAAGCUAUAACUCCACGACGAAACAAAUUAUCCUUAGUUGGCAACCUGCCACAGAACAGCCGUCAAGCGAAAAGAACGACCUUCAAAAGGAAUAUCCUUAUGCCAAAGAACCUUAGUAGAAACCGUAGUGACAAUUUUAUGAUGAUGAGCCAGGACUUUAUAAGCACUUCGAACAGUGAAAUCAUUGCUCGAUUCCAAGUUCCAAAGCCACAUGUCCUUCUUAUCAACCUAGAAAGUCACAUUUUGAAGUAAUAAACAGAAUUCCCCAUCACCUCCUCCUCCCACGCAAAUAGCCCCCGCCUCCACUUCCAAGCCUCAACCUUCUCCCCCCAACCUAAGUGAUACAUAUUAAACACAAAAACCUCCUUAAGCAGUGAUAGAUCAAACAAUUUUCUAAACCUCUCCCGAAACGCCACUCCACCAACCCACAAAUUUGACAAAAAAAUAGUUAACUUCCCAUUACCCACCACACGACUAACAUGAUCACUAAGCCACUCCUCCCUACGUAAGGUAGUGAUAUCUUGCCACCAAGAAGAGCAUCACGACCUACAUUUUAAAACUGACCACCCUCCACAAAACGGGCCGACAUCACCCUAAACCACAAACUAUCUCUAUCAACCAACAACCUCCAAUACAAUUUUCCUAAUAAUGCAUAAUUAAACUCCCUAAUUCUCCUUACCCCCAAACCACCAACCUCCUUACUCAAACAUACAGAUUUCCAGUCAACCCAUGAUAUUUUCCUGUGGUCCUCACUUCCAAUUUUUUUUUUUAAAUAAAUUCAAUAGAGGAGAUGAUACCUUCCGGAGCCUUAAAAAAAGAAAGAGCAUAAACAGGUAGAGAUGAUAUGACAGACUUCAGCAAAACCAGACGGCCAUCCAAAGAUAAAUGUUUUGACUUCCAAUCCGAUAGUCUCGACUUAAUGCGAUAAAUUAUAGGCUCCCAAAACGACAGACAUCUCGCUUUACCACCAAUAGGCAACCCCAAAUACACAAAGGUAAGAGAACCAACCCUGCAAUUUAAAAUUGUUCAUUAAUUAUACUCAUAUGUCCCUCAUCCUUUACUCUGCUUAUUCAUUGUGCCAUGGGUGAGUGUUCGUUGUGCCAACUCUCCUCAAUGACUAGACUUCCAGAAUAAUUCACUAUGCAACCAAACAACGAGGUCUCAACAACUUCAUUCAUGGCUUCAACUCAAUAAAGCUUGCUUCGUCAAAUUCUUAUAUUUCUUCUUUUCAAUGAGUUAAAAACAAUGGAAGAAUGUGUUAAUUCAAAAUUAUUAUAAUUUUUUAUUGGGUUUAAAUUAUGAUUUUUAAAAUACAAUGCGUAUGAUUUAACUGUUGCUUAUGACUUUUUUUAUCGGUGAGUAAAAUCUUGAGUCAUGGAGAAUGUGUGGUGUUGGUCAAAUUGAGACAAAAUUAUUGAAUUUGAAAUAGAUGAAUCUGGAAUCAAAGCAGUGGGAAGUUGAAAAUGAAAUCGUUGUGUUCAGAUGAGGGUUGUAUGGAAAGGGAAAAAAUGUACACAAGGAAGAGAAUCUGGAUAGCCUCAAAACUAAACUGACAGGUGUUGGUUAGAAGGGGUGAGAGAUGUCAUUUAUUGCAAAUACAAGGGAGGUUAAUGUUCAUUUUAUAAAUAGAGGGGGUAUAAGUGACAUAUGAAUAAACCUUAAGGGAGGUGAGUACAAUUUACCUUAUAUUUAAUAGGAGUGAUCAAAUCAUCAACUUCGUCCUUGAAUUUUCACGGGUCGGCCAAAUUCAUCCCUCAAUUAUGUGAAAUAACAAUUUAAUCCCUGAAUUUGUUAAAUGUCAAUCAAGUUAGUCCUUUUGUUCAAACGGAGUGUUAACGGGGCUGACAUCACCGUUAACCUCUCACAUGUCAUACGCCACAUAGGCAAGGACUAAUUUGGCCAAUAAAAACAAACAUUUCAAAGGACUAAACUGAUUGAUUUGCAGAAAAUGUCUUGGCUUUCUUCCCAAACAGCUCUUUUCUUCCCCAACAGCUCUUUCUUCCUCAAUUGUAUAAAAUUGUAACCCUAAUUACACAAUCUCCAAUCUACACUCCAAAAUCACCAAAAUUUCCUCCUGUAAUAAGUGGUCCAGUUCUUCCCCAAUUCAAAAAUCUUCAAACCCUAACUUUUUCGCAUUGAAUCUGAAAGUCAAAAUCCUCAAAAUUUUUGAAACAAAACUAUUGAAAUUGAAUCUGAAAUGAUGGGGUGUGGGAAUAUGGGAAGAAACAGUUAUGAAAGUCGAGCUUCAUCUUCAAGCUCCAAGUUUAAUGGUGAUGUGAGAAAAGAGGUUGAAGAUGAUUGAGGAAUGUAACAUUUCUGUAAUAAUAUUUCCAUCAAAUUAGUCCUUGAAUUAUUGUUCUAUCUAUCAAAUAGAUCCAUACGUUAUAUUAAAAACCAUCAAAUAAGUCCCUGAAUUGUUUAAUCAGAUAUCCAAUUGAUCCUUGAAGGAUAUGUGUUCAAAAUAAACUAAAAAAAGCCAAAACACAAAAAUUGAAACUGAAAUAUUACAUAGGCAAAAGUCAUAUGUCAUAAGUCAUAAAUCUGAGAAAUUACAUAGGCUAAAACAACCUAAUUAUGGGGCAUUAACAAGUCACAAGUCUUAAAUAAAGAUAAGCAAAAAGAAACCCAACUAUUAAGGGGUGAGAAUGGAGAAAGUUUUAGCGGGAAGGAGAAGGGUCAAUGACGUUCUUUAUGUUUCUGAGUGAACUGCGAAGAAGGAGGUAUGGGUAACGCAGGGGCAAAAUGGAAAAAGCAGAAGAAAAAAAUAAACUGAAGAGUGAAAACUGAACUUUUUCAAAUUCAAUCAAAUUAGUCCUUGAACACUGCUUCCUUCUUGCCACGUGUAUAAGAUAACACAACAUGCACGGCGACAAAUCAGCAUGGCUAACAGAGCACUUGGAUGGAGGGAUCUUUUUGAUGGACGUUUGACAAAUUCAAGGACUAAGUUGAUAUUUCGCAUAAUUGACGGAUGAAUUUGGCCGAUCUGUAAAAAUUCAAUGACGAAUUUGAUGGUUCACUCUAUUUAAUAGUGUUCACGCGGAGGUGAGUACAAUUAUUAAUGACACAAUGUUCAUUAUUUUUUUACUAAACACAAUAUUCUUGAUGAGUAUGCAACAUUAUGACAUGAUCACUUACCAAUUUUACUCUCAAGUAUUUGAUGAGGAGACACAUUAUAACACCCGUAGAUGAACGGAUACUUAAAUCUUAAAAGUGAGCAACCAAUUUCCAAAUGACUGCCGAUAUUAUUUUGGAUUAAAAACGUCUCCAACAAAAUGACAUAAAUCUAAUUUAUAUUUUUGAAAAGUUUACGUUUGCAAUAUAAAAAUACUAAUUAAUGACAAAUAAGAUAUCUUUGAUGACAGACCAAAGACUUUUAUCGGAUACAGCUCGUUGGAGUAACCUACCAAAGACUUUUAUUGCCCAGAAGUAGUUCUCAACUUAAAUUAAACAAGCUAAUAAGACUGGUUAUUUUUCCUUCAUAAAGGAGAUAAUUUUACUUGAGAUGGCUCAAACAUAAAAUAUAAGUAUCAUUUUUAAUUGAGUGUGUGUUUGGUUGAUUGGCAAGAGAAUAAUUAAUUUUGAUAUAAUUGAUUAUGAUUAAAAGUGAUUUUGAUUAAAAUAAUUUAUAUUUGGAUACAUUGACGUAAAAUUAAACUAUAAAUUUCUUUGUGAAAAUAAAUUCUAGAAUCAUAAACUACAAAUCUUAGUUUCAAAUAGAAUUAAUUCUAAAAACAAAAUCAAUUCUACUAGACAACAACCAAACAUAUUAGAAUCAAUUUUGCACUUCUAAAAUAAAUUUUGAUCCAUUGAAAAGUUGAACUAAACCUACACUGAGAUUCAAAUCUCAACUACCCAUAUUAUGAAAUUUAAUUGUACUCCCUGACCUUAAAUUAGGUGUCCUUUUUCCUAAUUUUUUUUAUCUUAAUUUUUUUAUCUCUUUAAAAUAUCAAUACAACAUUUACUAUUUUUUCUACUAAAAUAUCGUUAUAAAACCACUCAACUACAUAUAAUUAAUAAUAAUAUUUUAAUAAAUGAUACGUAUUUAACUAUUAAAAUCAACACUAUUAAUUAAUUUUUAAUAAUCAUUUUUAUAACUCAAAUAUGACAUCUAAUGGAAGCUCAAGGAGUAUUAGCUAGACCCAAUUUGGUCCGUAAUAUGACUCCUUUUCUUAAUUAGAUAUAAUAAUUGAUUAUGAAGAUCUACUGAUCUAUUAUAAAAGUAUGCAUAUACCAUGUGUGACAUUAAUUUUUGUCAGUUGUUGACUUCCAUCUUUCAUCACUUUGGUCGAUCUGUAUGAGUAAGUAGAAUGGUAUUUUUUAUACAAGAAUCACGUGGAACUAAACAAAACUAAUAUUAUUGAAAACUUUUACGGUACACUUCAUAAAUUGAGGUGUAUCGGUACUCUUAUUCCAUAAAAUUACAAAUUAACGACCAUUUUAUAAAAUAAAAAGUUAUUUGUCAAUGUUCAUAUUUUAGAAAACAUCAUUUCAUUGUUUAUAAAAAUCAUAUUAAAUUUUUAACAUUUUAUCAUAAAAAAUAAUCAAUAUUAUUUAUUAUGAGUAAUAAAAAUUCAAAAAAAAUAAAUUUUAUUUCGUCGAAGCUUUUGGUAAAUAAGAUUUGAUUAUUAUAAUUGUCAAUGUUAAAAAAUAAUUAUUUUUCAUAAGAAAAACAACUCAUUUAAUGAUUAAUUUACUGAUGUAGUGUACCGGUACACUCAAAUUUUUAAAUGUACCAUAUAAUUUGCCAUAUUAUUAUUAGUAAUAAAAAAUAUGACAAAUUCUAUGGUACACCCAAUAAAUUUGGGUGUAUCGGUACACUAACUCGUAAAAUUAAUAAUAAAUGAGUUUUUUUUUUUGAAGAAAAAUAAUUAUUUUCUAUCAUUGACAACUAAGAUAAUUAAAUUUUAUUUACUAAAAGCUUCGACGAAAUAAAAUUUAAUUUUUAAGAAUUUUUAUUACUCAUAACAAUGAAUAUUGAUUAUUUUUUAUGAUAAAAUGUAAAUUUUUUAAUAUGAUCCUUAUAAACAAUGAAAUGAUGAUUUUUCUUAUGAAAUGAUGUUUUUUUAAAAUAUAAAUAUUGACAAAUACCUUUUUAUUUCAUUAAAGUGAUCGUUAAUUUAUAUAUUUUGUGAAACAAGAAUACCGGUACACUCAAAAUUGUGAAUGUACCAUAGAAGUUCUCAAAAAAUAUAUGCAUGUUGGCAAGCGUUCCUAACAUUCCGUGUAGUGCAAGACAUUUCGUGGCAUAUCUCAAUUAUGAGAAGUACUUAUAUAGAUACAUAACCAGAUCUAAAAAAAAAAAAAAAGUACAAAAAAAGGGAUCAAAAGCUUGAAGGGAAGGAAAAAAAAGAAUCUGAACACAUAUUUUUAAGCAUAUAAGUUUCAUAAACAUCACAAAAGAUGAGUCUUUGAACCUCAUUGGAAAGAGGAGGACUCAAAACAACCAAAUUUCAAGAAUAAAAAAAAUAAAAAUAAAAAUCAAAGUUUACUAAUCAAUCAACACAUUUGUUCCCUUCACAUCAUUAAAAUGAGAAUCAAAAUAUAAUUACUUAUUAACAUAUCUAUUAUUUAAUUAUUUCAAAAAAAAAUAUAGUUCAAUUCUUUUCUCUUUUAUAUGGUUUUUCAAUUUAUGAAUGUGUGCUUAAAUGACUAAGUAAAUGUAUCUCCUCAAUUAUAUAUGCAAAAUCAUGUAACAUGACUUCCUCCCUAUCAUUUUAAAUAGGGAAAAUAGUAACAUGCUCCCUCCGAUAACAAAUACUAUAAGAAAAGAUUAUUUUUUAAGAUUUAUUGAAUAAUCAAUAUAAGUGCUUUGCAAUGUAUACUAGAUUUAUUAAUUAUUCAAUGAACCUAUUUUUUUUUAAUUUUUAUUUUUAUAGUAAUAUAGUUGGAGUAUGAGGAAUACUCAAUCCAUUACAAUGAAGGAAAAGAAGAAAAACGAAAAACCACCACAAACAAAUAAACAACCAAUAGUAAAACUAAAACAAAAUCCUGAAGAAAAAAAAAAUCACACAAUAUCAUGUUUUAUUCCUAUAACUUACACAUCCAAUUUUUCAAUUAACAAUUCUCAAUUUUAAAACCCUAAAGCAAGGAAAGAAGGAAAAAUUGAAAAAUCAAUUGAUUUUUUUUUUUUUUUUGGUAGAAAAAAAUCAAUUGAUUUACCUUAGAGUGAGUGAGAACUUGUUUAAUACAUACCUUUAAAAAUGAUCGAAAAUGAACUCUUACCUUUUUUAAUAAUAGAAAAUUGAUAACAGAUGUAAUAUUUUUUAGUUCUUACCUUUUAAGUGAAAUUUAAUAAUUUCCUUAUAAAAAAAAGUAAAAUUUAAUAAUUCUACCUUAAUUUGCACUAGACCUACCUUGGAUUAUUAGAAAAAUUUUAUGGUGAAGUCAUUAAAAUGACUUUUGUGGUGAAGUUAACACGAUAACAUCAAAAGUGUUGUGAGUAACACCCCACUGUUUGUACAGUGGCAUCAAAAAUUCAGUCCCCUUAGUAUCAUCAAUUCAUCAGAUUAACAAGAAUACACUUAAUCUAAUUUUAUCUUACAUUGUUUUAAGUGUAACACCCCACAAAGUGUAACACUCACAUAUAUCAGCAACUCUGUUUGCAUGUUAAAGAUGCCAAUGAUAAAAUAAUACCUGUAAGUCUAAGAUGUUGCAAGCAUUACUAGAUGAAUUACUAUUGAUCAUUAAUCAGUAAUCAACAAUUUAAAAAUGAAUCAAACAUUAAGAUUAAAAUUAACUUAUUCAAAAAAAUCAGUUUCAUGACUGCACCGUAGAAGCUUACAACAAAGAGUUAUUAAAAAGUAAAUAAUAACUUACUUUAAAAAAAGAGUAAAUAAUAUCUUAAUUCAAGUGUAUUAUAGAAUGAUAUCAUUAAGAUAUAAUAAUAUUUACAUAUAUUUAAAGUGACAAAAUAUAAGCAUUCUUCACUUAUACAUAUAUAAUAAGUUUCUCCCUGUCUUCACACAUAUAUAACAUAAGCAUCGAGUGUGUUUUUGAGGAAGAAAAGAUGAGGGGAGGAUUAAACAUGGAGUACUACCUGCCAAUAAUAGUUAUGUUGUUGAUACAGUUAAUAUUUGCAGGUCAGACUCUUGGCACAAGAAUGGCACUUUUGGAGGGUAUGAGUCCAAGGAUAUUUGUAGUAUACCGUAGUGCUUUUGCAACCAUUGUUCUUGCUCCCCUCGCUUAUUUAUCAGGGUAAUAUUACCACUUCUCUUUACUUUCUUCAUUACAUAAUCCUAUUCCUUAAAUUAUUGUUUUUUUCAUUAUUUUGACAGGAGAAACUCUGGCUCAUAUUCCUUGAAUUUAAGGAGUUUUUCCUUGAUUUUCAUGACCUCACUAAUUGGGUUUGUUUCCAUUCUCUCUCUAAGUAUUAAUCAUUUUAAAGUUUUAUAAGUAAUGAUCUCUCAAUUAUGCUCAUAUCAGAUAUUCAACUAUUUGAGCUGAUUUGAUUUGUUUCAAAGAAGAAAACUAUUUGGGCUGAUUUGGUUGCCAUAAUUGUGCUGAUAUUAAUGUAGACGCUCAAUAAUAUAUCUUUGACCUUUUUUUGUUUGACUAAAUAAAUUAUCUGACUAUUCUUUCAACAAUUUGACAAAGAAUAUAAAUUGUUUUUAAGAGGAAUAUGACAAAGAAUAGUUAAAAUUACAUUGGAUACAAGUUUAUAGUUAAAUAUUGUAAAAAAAAUAUCUGAUUUAUAAAAAGAGUAGAUGAAUUGGGAGUCUCGAUUUGCUUAAUUGGGAUUCCUCACUUAUGCUCAGUUUAUAGAGAGACACAGUAUCUUAAAGUUUUGAGUGACUAUGCGUAUGCUAUGCUGUGCUUAUAAACUCAUUUGGAAUCCCAACAUAUACUAAUGGAUAAAUAUGAAUAUGACAAAUAUUAAAGAAUACCUAUAAAUUCUAUAUGAUGAAAAGUAGAAAAAUGUUUACACUUAUAUAUAGAUAAAAUGGUGUGCAAGGUUCAAUAAUCAUUAUUUGAGAUUGAUUAGAAAUAUUUUCACACUCUUUUGUUGUUUCUGUUGGGAUAUAUUGCAGCAUUACAUUGAAUCAAAAUUUAUAUUUUGAGGGUCUAUAUCUUUCUUCUUCUUCAGUUGCAAGUGCCAUUUCCAAUCUUCUUCCGGCAGUCACAUUUGUAAUUGCAGCCUUAGUAGGGUAAUUACUAGUCAGCCUAUUUUGUUUACUCAAAAGGAGGUGUUUAUUUUAAUUGAAAUUGAAAUUGAUUAUAUUACAGAAUGGAAAAAGUGAAUAUUCGAAGUAUAAGAACUAUAGCCAAAAUAGUGGGGACAAUUAUAUGUGUAAGUGGAGCAGUGUCAAUUGCAUUGUUGAAGGGUCCAAAACUACUAAAUGCAGAUAAGAUACUUUCAAAAUCAAUCAUGGCCACAACCUUAUUAGGAAGUGAUGAGAAUUGGUUGCUUGGAUGUCUGUCUCUUCUCGGAUGCACUGUUGCUUGGGGAAUUUUUCUCAUUUUGCAGGUAUUUUAAUCGAUACUCUCACAUUAAAUAAUGUACGUGUUCUAUAAUAAAGACUAUAUAUAUCAUUAAUUAAAUAAAUCUAAAAUGUUAUAAUCGGCGGAUGGGGUAUGUAAAACUUAAAGGGUCUUGUCCGUGCCCCGGAGCACUAGUUAAUGUGCUAAAAGUAGAAAGAAAGGUACAAUUUUGCAUUAUUUAACUUUCAAAAAGUAGAAUAGACAAUUUUCAAAACAAUAUUUUAUUUUAUAAUUUUUUAACAAGUUUUCCGAGACACUCGUUAACUUUUUUCAAACUUAAAUGAAACACCUAACUUCAAAUAGAUGGAGUAAUAAAAGUUGUCUCCCCGCCCAUCAUUAAUAACGUUGGCACCACUAGGAGGUAGACAGAAAAAUGUCUAAUCGAAUUAAUUAUAUGUAUUUAUUGUUUCUUCAAUUUCAGAUACAAGCAAUGUUAUCUUGAGAAAUGCUAAUGUGUAAUCUCAAAGCAUUGUUGUUAGUACAACGAAAACACUCUAUUUAUCUUAAAUUAUACGACGUUUUGAUCAUUUCAUACGUAUUAAAAAAUAUAAUUAAUUUUUACCAGGUUCCAGCUUAUGCAAGUCAUCCCAAUUACUUAUCACUUUGUGCAUGGAUGUGUUUCAUGGCAACAUUACAAUCAGCAUUAGUCACACUAUUCUUAGAGCCAGACUUUAAUGGAUGGAAGAUUAAGUCUCUGCUUCAAUUUGGUAGCGCUUUAUAUGCUGUAUGUGGAUGAUUCAACAAUUUAUACUUCUAUAAAAAAAAUUAAUUAAUAUAUCAUAUAAUUUAAUACAUCACAAGUGACAUUUUGCAGGGAGUUAUGGGAUCUGCAGUAAUAUACUGUCUCCAAGCAUGGUGCAUUUCAAGGAGAGGACCUCUCUUCUCUGCUAUGUUUACUCCUGUUUUCACAAUUAUUUGUACUGUAUUGGCUGCCAUUUUGCUUCAUGAGGAAAUAUACAUUGGAAGGUAGUAAUAAUUAACUUGUGAUAUUAAAGAAGAUUCUUAACACAUAUUGAAUUUAAUCAAUUAUUAUUAAUCUAACUAAAUGAUUCUUCUACUUCAUGUGUGUUAGCUUGAUAGGUGCAAUUGGAGUGAUCAUUGGUUUGUAUAUUGUACUUUGGGGUAAAGCUGAAGAAGUAGUUGAUAUUAAAGAGAAUAUAGUUCCAAAAUCUAUGGAAGUGAAAAUUGAUUUGGAAGAACCUCUUUUACCAGAUGACUCUACUUAGAAUAAAUGAAUAUCAUAUCAUAUCAUAUUAUCAAAAGCAAAAUUGUAUCAGGGUUUUUUAACUUAUAUUUAUUUAAAAAAGGAAAAUUGUUUGUGGACCAACGUUCAUUCUUAUUAUAAUC